rnacentral:lncRNA from 1 species
CAGAUCCUAGGCAACAGCCAGACAGGGAAGUAGUCUCUGCCCCAGUCAUUAAACUUGUGUGGCUGCUCAGACAGGAUAAUAAGAUUCACUGAAGAACAAAGAGGCAGGACCACAAGAGAGAAAUGAGAGCAGGUCUUCCUCUACAGUGAGACUGGCAAGGAAUGAGAUGGGAUAGAUAUAACAGAUACCUAUAUAUCCAAGUAGAUAUAAUGUGGAGAUGAAGUAGAUUAAGAAUUUCUUCAGUGCUGAGGACUUGGAGGACAUUCAAGACGUAACUUUGAAAGGUGUUUGCACUUCCACAGGCACUCACCUGCCAUCUGACCUCUCCAGGGUAACUUGACUUUUCCUCCAACGAAUGU